GUAUGGGACUGGGUGAGGAAACCUUGUGGGGAGGAGCAGUUGCUCACGGCAACCAACUGGAUUGUAGCUUUCAUUUUUAAAAAGAGGCCAUUUAAAAAUGAAAGCUGGAAUCUGAUUGGUUGCUAUGGGCAAUUGCUCCUCUGCACAAGGCUUGAUCGAUCUCUACCGAAGUCUACGAUUCAAGAUGGCGGUGCAGGAGCCAUUAACACGUCUUGUAGGAUGGCAGAGACGCCGCUUGUGCCUGUCACAGCCCCGAGGCCUCUUCAGAAAACAUCAGACAACUUCUUAUUAUUAAAUGAAGAAAAAAGCACAUUUGGAUCCUGGGGCAAGAGAGAAGUGAUUGAGUGUUCAUCCAUCAGCGCCGCAGACAAGUGGAGGCAGAACGCUGGAUUUAUGAGAGAAGUCUUGUUAGCUGCAAAAAUAGAUCAAUCUCCCACAACCUCCAGAGAUCCCACAAGACGACUCAAUUGACCCAAUUUACUGGAAGAUGGAACGGAGCGCCCACAUCUCCUUCCCCGAAGUCCAGGCUGCCCUGUUAUAUGACAUUGAAGCUGCUGUCCCCAUAUCUGUUAUUACUCCAUAGUCUCUACCAAUAACCAGCACAUGUUACACCUCUACUUGCUUUUCUUCUUUUAUUGAUCCUGACUUAUAUGUUAUACUCCAGGUACAUCCGGAGCUGAGCAGCGACUAAAGCUGGGGAAGGAGUUUUUGUGGACAUGUGCUCAUUGCUAUCUUGGUAGCGGAAGGCUCAGGAUUGGCCUGCUGAGCACAAAAACAGUAACAAAGGUAAGGGACUGCAGGGAUAUAGAUGGACACUCCCUGUGGCUGCAUUCACAUCUCGUUUUUGCAAUACGGUUCCCGUAUCAGUUUUUUUUGUAAAAAAAAUGUAUGUCUCAAAACCGGAUCGAACCGUAUACAACUGUGUACAACAGUGUAUACCUCUGUAAGGUUUUAAACCGUAUACGGUUUGAAAACGGUUGUCCGGUUGCAUACGGUUUAAUACGUUU